CACGUAGGGUGCGAGCGUUUGUCCGGAAUUAUUGGGCGUAAAGAGCUCGUAGGCGGUGUGUCGCGUCGGCCGUGAAAACCUGCAGCUUAACUGUGGGCUUGCGGGUCGAUACGGGGCAUCACUGGAGUUCGGCAGGGGGAGACUGGAAUUCCUGGUGUAGCGGUGAAAUGCGCAGAUAGUCAGGAGGAACACCGGUGGCGAAGGCGGGGUCUCUGGGGCCGAUACUGACGUGAGGAGC
rnacentral:rRNA from 1 species